CAGACGAAAUACCCACGGGCCUUAUCAUUUGAUUGGUCGGUGGGAUUUUCGUCUG
rnacentral:miRNA from 1 species